rnacentral:rRNA from 1 species
CGUGCCCUAGAGUGCUAGUCGGACUAGCUAAUACCGCAACGAUCUAAGGAUGAAAGUGGGGGUCGCAAGACCUCAUGCUCGUGGAGCCCGAUAUCUGAUUAGCUAGUUGGUGGGGUAAAAGCCUACCAAGGCAACGAUCAGUAGCUGGUCUGAGAGGACGACCAGCCACACUGGGACUGAGACACGGCCCAGACUCCUACGGGGGCAGCAGUGGGGAAUUUUGGACAAGGGGGCAACCCUGAUCCAGCAAUGCCGCGUGAGUGAAGAAGUUCGGGUUGUAAAGCUCUUUUGUCAGGGAAGAAACGGUUCUGGAUAAUACCCAGGGCUAAUGACGUACCUGAAGAAUAAGCACCGGCUAACUACGUGCCAGCAGCCGCCGUAAUACGUAGGGUGCAAGCGCUAAUCGGAAUUACUGGGCGUAAAGCGUGGGCGGUUGUGUAAGUCAGAUGUGAAAUCUCCGGGCUCAACCUGGGAAUUGCAUUUGAGACUGCACGUGUGUCACAGGGGGGUAGAAUUCCACGUGUAGCAGUGAAAUGCGUAGAUAUGUGGAGGAAUACCGAUGGCGAAGGCAGCCCCCUGGGAUAACACUGACGCUCAUGCACGAAAGCGGGGGAGCAAACAGGAUUAGAUACCCUGGUAGUCCACGCCCUAAACGAUGUCUACUAGUUGUCGGGUCUUAAUUGACUUGGUAACGCAGCUAACGCGUAAGCAGACCGCCUGGAGUACGGUCGCAAGAUUAAACUCAAAGGAAUUGACGGGGACCCGCACAAGGUGGAUGAUGUGAUAAUUCGAUGCAACGCGAAAAACCUUACCUACCCUUGACAUGAUGGAUCCCGAAAGUUUGGGAGUGCUCAAGAGAGCCAUCCCAGGUGCUGCAUGGCUGUCGCAGCUCGUGUCGUGAAUGUUUAAGUCCCGCACGAGCGCAACCUUUCAUUCUACGAAGGCAUCUAAUGAGACGCCGGUGACACGGAGAAUGGAUGAGUCAAGUCCUUGGCCCUUAUGGGUGGGUUCACGUCAUAAAUGGUACAACAGAGCCGCCAACCCGAGGGGAGUAAUCCCAGAAGUCGUAGUCGAUUGGAGUCUAACCGACUCCAUGAAGUUGGAAUCGCUAGUAACGCGAUCAGCAUGUCGGGUGAUACGUUCGGGUCUUGU